CUACGGGACGCUGCAGUGGGGAAUAUUGCACAAUGGGCGCAAGCCUGAUGCAGCCAUGCCGCGUGUAUGAAGAAGGCCUUCGGGUUGUAAAGUACUUUCAGCGGGGAGGAAGGGAGUAAAGUUAAUACCUUUGCUCAUUGACGUUACCCGCAGAAGAAGCACCGGCUAACUCCGUGCCAGCAGCCGCGGUAAUACGGAGGGUGCAAGCGGUAAUCGGAAUUACUGGGCGUAAAGCGCACGCAGGCGGUUUGUUAAGUCAGAUGUGAAAUCCCCGGGCUCAACCUGGGAACUGCAUCUGAUACUGGCAAGCUUGAGUCUCGUAGAGGGGGGUAGAAUUCCAGGUGUAGCGGUGAAAUGCGUAGAGAUCUGGAGGAAUACCGGUGGCGAAGGCGGCCCCCUGGACGAAGACUGACGCUCAGGUGCGAAAGCGUGGGGAGCAAACAGGAUUAGAUACCCCGGUAGUC
rnacentral:rRNA from 1 species